UACGUAGGGUGCAAGCGUUAAUCGGAAUUACUGGGCAUAAAGCGUGCGCAGGCGGUUAGGUAAGACAGAUGUGAAAUCCCCGGGCUCAACCUGGGAACUGCAUUUGUGACUGCAUCGCUGGAGUGCGGCAGAGGGGGAUGGAAUUCCGCGUGUAGCAGUGAAAUGCGUAGAUAUGCGGAGGAACACCGAUGGCGAAGGCAAUCCCCUGGGCCUGCACUGACGCUCAUGCACGAAAGCGUGGGGAGCAAACAGG
rnacentral:rRNA from 1 species